GACGAACGCUGGCGGCGUGCUUAACACAUGCAAGUCGAACGGAAAGGCCCUGCUUUUGUGGGGUGCUCGAGUGGCGAACGGGUGAGUAACACGUGAGUAACCUGCCCUUGACUUUGGGAUAACUUCAGGAAACUGGGGCUAAUACCGGAUAGGAGCUCCUGCUGCAUGGUGGGGGUUGGAAAGUUUCGGCGGUUGGGGAUGGACUCGCGGCUUAUCAGCUUGUUGGUUGGGUAGUGGCUUACCAAGGCUUUGACGGGUAGCCGGCCUGAGAGGGUGACCGGCGACAUUGGGACUGAGAUACGGCCCAGACUGCUACGGGAGGCAGCAGUGGGGAAUAUUGCACAAUGGGAGGAAGCCUGAUGCAGCAACGCCGCGUGCGGGAUGACGGCCUUCGGGUUGUAAACCGAUUUCGCCUGUGACGAAGCGUGAGAGACGGUAAUGGGUAAAGAAGCACCGGCUAACUACGUG
rnacentral:rRNA from 1 species